AGGAAAAGAAACUAACCAGGAUUUCCUCAGUAGCGGCGAGCGAACAGGAAAGAGCCCAGCACCGAAUCCCGCGGUUCCGCCGCAGGGAAAUGUGGUGUUCGGGAGGGUCCGAUUUAUCCCGAGUCGCCGCAUCGCGUCCAAGUCCAUCUUGAAUGGGGCCACUUACCCGCAGAGGGUGCCAGGCCCGUAGCGACCGGUGCGCGCCUCGGGUGGAUCUCUCCUUAGAGUCGGGUUGCUUGAGAGUGCAGCUCUAAGUGGGUGGUAAACUCCAUCUAAGGCUAAAUACGACCACGAGACCGAUAGCGAACAAGUACCGUGAGGGAAAGUUGAAAAGAACUUUGAAGAGGGAGUUCAAGAGUACGUGAAACCGUUCAGGGGUAAACCUAAGAAACCCAAAAGAUCGAACGGGGAGAUUCAUCGUCAGCGGCGUCGGCUUCGAGUCGGUGGGCGAUGUUCCGCGCGGUACUCCCGCGCGGGCACGCUACCGUGCGCGCAUGUCCGACGUCGUCGUCGUGCACUUCUCCCCUAGUAGAACGUCGCGACCCGCUGGGUGUCGGUCUACGGCCCGGGUGCGGUGCCUGUCGCGUCGCCGGUAAAACGGCACGCGGCAAACCCCCGGUUCUUCCCGGCCGGCUGCCCGGCGGUACUCGCACGGUAUCAGGCCGCAGGUUCAUCAAGCUCGUCGCAAGCGCGCGCCACGUUACCCGGAGGCACGGACCCAGCGCCGUCCCCGGUUCUGGCCCGCUGUUGGCCGACGGUGAUCCUUUGACAGGCCUUACACGGGGCGGCGCGCGGAGGGGCUCGUCCCUCGCCCGCGCGUCCUCCGAUACCGGUCGGCGACGCUACUGCUUUGGGUACUCUUAGGACCCGUCUUGAAACACGGACCAAGGAGUCUAACAUGUGCGCGAGUCAUUGGGACCAGCAAAACCCAAAGGCGCAAUGAAAGUGAAGAUCGGCCCUGGCGCCGAUCGAGGGAGGAUGGGCAGCGUCGCGAUGCGGCCUCGCACUCCCGGGGCGUCUCGUUCUCAUCGCGAGAGGAGGCGCACCAAGAGCGUACACGUUGGGACCCGAAAGAUGGUGAACUAUGCCUGGUCAGGACGAAGUCAGGGGAAACCCUGAUGGAGGUCCGUAGCGAUUCUGACGUGCAAAUCGAUCGUCGGAACUGGGUAUAGGGGCGAAAGACUAAUCGAACCAUC
rnacentral:rRNA from 1 species